rnacentral:lncRNA from 1 species
AUCAGUGAAGAAUCAGCAAAAACUUUAACAUCAAAAACAUCAUAAAAGAUGCACAUGAACUUCAUUUUUGAUGAAUUCGAGCUUGUCAUAAAGAUGACCAUAAGGUCCAAGGCUCACAAACAGAAACACCAAACAAGAACCAAAAAAUAUGAUGCAAGGAUGCAAAUGGUUUAAACUCUCAACGAACGAUACGAUGAAGGUACUCACUUGAGAGCCCCCAUUGACAGUACGAUCUAUCGUAAAUAGAAAAAUCUAUCAAAGGCAAACCUAUACCUUGCACAUAGUUCACUUGAGCUAGAUGAUGACGAUCUUGACUUCCUCAAGAUGGACCACCUUUAUUGAUUGCGUUGGCUUGAUGAAAACUAGUUGAUUGCUCCCCCAUACUCAUUAUGGGUGAGCCACUCUUAGCACAUCUUCACAAGUCCAUUGCCACCAUAAUGGAUGGCAAGCUUCAAGCAUGAUAUCUUUGUGAUGCUUCACUUGAACUUGCACACCGCAAUCUUGACGACGAUCACCACUUGAUGUCAUCUUUCAUGGGUUGAAUGAGAUCUUCCUCUUGACUCAAGCCCAUGAACACACACCUAACCCCACACAGAACUCUCACGAAGACCAUGUGUUAGUACACACAAACGUAAUGGAUAAUGCUUACCGUACCAUGGGAUCACUUUAUCCCUCUCGGUACAUCUUGCAUGCUUU